AGAAACCCUAAUGAUAUUCCUCUUUUCAUUUACAAGACCCAAAACGCUCCAACUUCUAUUUUUCCCCCAAGUCUCCGCCUCGUCUCUCCAACCCUUUCCGCGGUCGGUCGAGAUUGUAAAAGGGAACAAUGGAAGGAAUGAUAGCUGGACUUGUUAUAUAAAUUUUGCUACCAUCAUUUGUACUCUAUAGACUUUUGACUAGAAUAAAGAGAUAUCGCUCAUAUUGUGUAUAUAAAAGAUGGUGUUAUUUGGGGGAAGGGACUAAGUAUGAAGAUGUUAAGAGAACUCCUUGAUGUGCAACAUUUGCUCGUAAAGUGCUUGAAGAAGACUUAAUUCGAAGAACAAGUAAAAAGCCCGGAGGAAACAAGAGAACUAGUGAUUUGAUUAACUUAUUAUGUAUUUGAAAAUUUAUUGUUUCUUUUCUUAUUUGGACAUAAACGGAUCUAGAAUCGAUGACUUAUGAAAUUGCUAAUAAUAUAUUGUAUACUUUGUUGUACAGUCUAUUUGGUUGGUAAUAAAAUGUUUCUUAUGUUAU